GUCGCCUCGAUUUGUUAAAACGUUUUAACAAAUCUCGGUUUACAAAGGCGUUUGCAGACCUGUCGAGGAGUAAACAUUUGCUGUUUAAAGGAUGAGAAGAUGGCAAGAAGGAACUUCCUAAGACAGUGUAAGCAGACACUAAAUGACUGCACUCAGCUUUUGCUGUCGGAUAACCCUGGACGCGACGACCUUCAGUCCACGUUGACAAGGCUGGAAACAAUGCAGCGAAGCCUAGAGUGGGCAAAGGGGUACGCUCUUAAAUGUUGCUUCAGCAGACGGCCUGAUAGCUGAACUGUCCGAGCUCAAGCAGGAGAGUCGCACCUAUGGUCGGCAUGCACAGCCAUUUCAGUGGGGCCAGUUCCGGUUACCAGGCUCCAUUGACUUGGAGUGGAGCUAGAGGUGUUCCUCAUUAUCCCAUCACCGGAGAGCAAUUGAGGGGUCUGAUGAUAGAUGGCAGAUAUUCUCCACGUGUUCCAUUCUACACUCAAACCACAUCUAAGGCACUUUGCAUUAACCUGAGGGCAGCUGCCUUCCCAUCAAUGUCGCAGAGGCUGCACAGAAGGUACAGUGUUGCUGCUCUGAAUUCUUUGACACAUCGAUGGAAACUACAGACUGAAGGUGGAGGAUAGUCAUUAUGUGUAUCUGCCUUGAAUCAACAGAGACAUGGCAGACUUCUGCAACUAGUGGAACCGUCAGGCCAAAUAGUGUCCUAGGGCCAAAUAGUGUCCUACCUGACGUCACAAUGAAGUUCCGUCGCUAUGCCAACCUUAAAUUCCUGAGAUAUCUACGUGUGCUAGCAGGAAACUGUCAUGGUUGCUAUACUGGUUACUUGGUAGGAAGUUUUGUAUUUAGGCUUAUUUAAACCAGUUUAUUCUACUCUAAGAUUUAAAUACAAAGCCUCGUACCUAGUUUUGUACCUGGCUUCAUGUUUUGGUUGCUCGCAAUGUUGAGGCUAUCUCGUUGUUAUGAUCAGUGACCUAUGCACUUUUGUAAAGCUCUCUCGUGGAAGUCGCUUUGGAUAAAAGCGUCUGCUAAAUGCAUAAAUGUAAAUAAAUGGAGUCAGGUGGCUGAGCAGUGAGGGAAUUGGGCCUGUAAUCAUAAGGUUGCCAGUUCGAUUCCCGGCUGUGCCAAAUGGCGUUGUGUCCUUGGGCAAGGCACUUCACCCUACUUGCCUCGGGGGGAAUGUCCCUGUACUUACUGUAAGUCGCUCUGGAUAAGAGCGUCUGCUAAAUGUAAAUGUAAGAUGCAGUCAGUGAUUAAGAUCAGUGAAACACACAACUACAGAUUACUUGAACUAUAGUGCACAGUACUUGUGAUAAAAUUUGUGGCGCACACACACACAUAGACUUCUGCAAUUAUAGAUAGGGCACAAUGCCCGGAAUGAUGUUGGUGACACAAACAGAUUUCUGGAAUUAUAGAUGGGUAGUGCAGUGCCUGGUGAUGACAGUUCUUCUCAGUGGCUUUGGUACCUAUAUUUCUCAGAUAACAAUUGAAAUUCUCUGUCAUCUCUGAAGUACUUGUUCAA